UUACACAGGGAGAGAUUGAAGCAGUGGUCAUUGCCACUGGUGUCUAUACCUUCUUUGGCAAGGCUGCUCACCUUGUGGGCAGCACAAACCAAGUUGGUCACUUUCAGAAGGUCUUGACUGCCAUUGGGAUUUUCUUUAUAUGUUCUAUUGCUCUGGGAAUGGUAAUAGAGAUCAAUGUAAUGUAUCCAAUUCAACAUCGGGACUAUCGUCCAGGAAUUGACAAUUUGCUUGUACUUCUUAUUGGAGGAAUCCCCAUUGCAAUGCCUACAGUUUUAUCUGUCACAAUGGCAAUUGGCUCCCACCGUUUAAGUGUGUUAGUAUGUAAGACCAUCCUUUUUUCCCAUUGUAGGGGGCCAUGACGAAAAGAAUGACAGCAAUUGAAGAAAUGGCAGGCAUGAAUGUGCUUUGCAGCGAUAAAACUGGAACUCUGACAUUGAACAAGCUGACAGUUGACAAAAGUCUUAUUGGGGUUUUUUUUUUUUUUUGGAGGGUUUGUUUGCUCCAGUUUGAAUUUCUAGAUUGUGCAUUGUAGUAGUUGUUCCAACCCUUUUCCUGGAUGCAUUGUCAUAGGUCUUUGCUAGAGGAGUAGAUGCAGAUAUUGUAGUUUUAAUGGCUAGAGAGCCUCCAGAGUGGAAAAUCAAGAUGCAAUUGACACUGCUAUUGUAGGAACAUUGGCUGAUCCGAAAGAGGCAAGGGCUGGCAUUCAAGAGGUUCACUUCCUUCCGUUUAACCCCACUGAUAAGUGACCAGCUCUGACAUACAUUGAUAGUGAAGGCAAAAUGCAUCGAGUAAGCGAAGGUGCACCAGAACAGAUACUCAAUAUCGCACACAAUAAGUGAAAAAUAGAGCGGAGAGUUCAUGCUGUGAUUGACAAGUUUGCACGGACUUUUUUCGGGUAAGUAAACGUAAACUAGCAAUGGUCCUGGAACAGUUAAUUGCCUAAGAUACAACUGAUAGAUAAAUGCCAAAUGAAU